rnacentral:misc_RNA from 1 species
CCAAUCCACUUGGAGCUGUCGAAAUUCUUCGUAGAUUAGAAGCCACGAUUGUAGCUGUUUAUCAGGGUGCUUAAAUGGAGAAAUCUGCUGUUGUUAAGGAAAAUUACCUCAACGGAAAUCAAUUUCACUCGUUUUCUUCUUCAUCUGUUUCUCUUAGACACGUUAGUUACAGCUGUGGCACUUGUGGAUAUGAGUUGAACUUAAGCUCCUCCAAUCGAAACACCUCAACUAUUGGCUCUAAGUAUGGGAAAUCCAUAAAGCGAGGGAUCAUCUCAUUCUUUGACAUUGAUGAGAGCAG